rnacentral:rRNA from 1 species
GAUGCACGCUAGCUACAGGCUUAACACAUGCAAGUCGAGGGACCGGCGCACGGGUGAGUAACACGUAUCCAACCUGCCCUUUACUCGGGGAUAGCCUUUCGAAAGAAAGAUUAAUACCCGAUGUAAAGGAUGGGGAUGCGUUCAAUUAGGUGUGUGGGGAGGUAACGGCUCACCAAGACUUCGAUGGAUAGGGGUUCUGAGAGGAAGGUACCCCACAUUGUAACUGAGACACGGUCCAACCUCCUACGGGAGGCAGCAGUGUGGAAUAUGGGGCAAUGGGCUUUAGCCUGAACCAGACAAGUAUCGUGAAGGAUGAAGGGUUAUGGGUCGUAAACUUCUUUUAUAUAAGAAUAUGUAUUAUAUGAAUAAGGAUCGGCUAACGCCGUGCCAGCAGCCGCGGUAAUAC